CCUACGGGAGGCAGCAGUGGGGAAUAUUGGACAAUGGGGGCAACCCUGAUCCAGCAAUACCGCGUGUGUGAAGAAGGCCUGAGGGUUGUAAAGCACUUUCAAUUGUGAAGAAAAGUUAACGGUUAAUACCCGUUAACCUUGACGUUAACUUUAGAAGAAGCACCGGCUAACUCCGUGCCAGCAGCCGCGGUAAUACGGAGGGUGCAAGCGUUAAUCGGAAUUACUGGGCGUAAAGCGUGCGUAGGCGGUUUAUUAAGUCAGAUGUGAAAGCCCCGGGCUUAACCUGGGAACUGCAUUUGAAACUGGUAAACUAGAGUAUGGUAGAGGAAAGUGGAAUUUCUGGUGUAGCGGUGAAAUGCGUAGAUAUCAGAAGGAACAUCAAUGGCGAAGGCAGCUUUCUGGACCAAUACUGACGCUGAGGUACGAAAGCGUGGGUAGCAAACAGGAUUAGAUACCCUGGUAGUCCACGCCGUAAACGAUGAUAACUAGCCGUUGGGGGGAUUUACCCUUUAGUGGCGAAGCUAACGCGUUAAGUUAUCCGCCUGGGGAGUACGGCCGCAAGGUUAAAACUCAAAUGAAUUGACGG
rnacentral:rRNA from 1 species